rnacentral:tRNA from 1 species
GGGAGCACACCGGAAGUCUGUGCAGGUCAACGCGGCGGAGCCGCCAAGAUCCAUGACGGGCUGUAAAUCCGUCGGCUUAGCCUACGCAGGUUCGAACCCUGCACCCGCCA